rnacentral:rRNA from 1 species
UACGAAGGGGGGCUAGCGUUGCUCGGAAUCACUGGGCGUAAAGCGCACGUAGGCGGAUUGUUAAGUCAGGGGUGAAAUCCUGGAGCUCAACUCCAGAACUGCCUUUGAUACUGCGAUCUCGAGUCCGGGAGAGGUGAGUGGAACUGCGAGUGUAGAGGUGAAAUUCGUAGAUAUUCGCAAGAACACCAGUGGCGAAGGCGGCUCACUGGCCCGGUACUGACGCUGAGGUGCGAAAGCGUGGGGAGCAAACAGG